GGUGGCUCAGUGGUAGAGUGCUUGCCUUGCAUGCAUGAGGCCCUGGGUUCAAUUACUUAGCACCA
rfam:Dipodomys ordii contig_26433, whole genome shotgun sequence.